AGUGAACGCUGGCGGUAGGCCUAACACAUGCGAGUCGAACGGCAGCACAGUAAGAGCUUGCUCUUACGGGUGGCGAGUGGCGGACGGGUGAGGAAUACAUCGGAAUCUACUUUUUCGUGGGGGAUAACGCAGGGAAACUUACGCUAAUACCGCAUACGACCUACGGGUGAAAGCAGGGGAUCUUCGGACCUUGCGCGAUUGAAUGAGCCGAUGUCGGAUUAGCUAGUUGGCGGGGUAAAGGCCCACCAAGGCGACGAUCCGUAGCUGGUCUGAGAGGAUGAUCAGCCACACUGGAACUGAGACACGGUCCAGACUCCUACGGGAGGCAGCAGUGGGGAAUAUUGGACAAUGGGCGCAAGCCUGAUCCAGCCAUACCGCGUGGGUGAAGAAGGCCUUCGGGUUGUAAAGCCCUUUUGUUGGGAAAGAAAAGCAGCAGGUUAAUACCCCGCUGUUCUGACGGUACCCAAAGAAUAAGCACCGGCUAACUUCGUG
rnacentral:rRNA from 1 species